UGAAGGACAGGACUGCAUAGAACCAUUUGGUUUUCUGCGGUGGAUGCUGCUCCCUCCCAUCCUCAGAACACUGAGGACCGUCUUCCAACUACACCUGCCUUACACAAAUCAAAAUUUGGGAAUCUUCCCAUUUGUCCCUUAGAACUGAACUUGAGCCCUGGCUGGUGU